UUGAAGAGUUUGAUCAUGGCUCAGAUUGAACGCUGGCGGCAGGCCUAACACAUGCAAGUCGAGCGGUAGCACAGAGAGCUUGCUCUCGGGUGACGAGCGGCGGACGGGUGAGUAAUGUCUGGGAAACUGCCUGAUGGAGGGGGAUAACUACUGGAAACGGUAGCUAAUACCGCAUAACGUCGCAAGACCAAAGUGGGGGACCUUCGGGCCUCAUGCCAUCAGAUGUGCCCAGAUGGGAUUAGCUAGUAGGUGGGGUAAUGGCUCACCUAGGCGACGAUCCCUAGCUGGUCUGAGAGGAUGACCAGCCACACUGGAACUGAGACACGGUCCAGACUCCUACGGGAGGCAGCAGUGGGGAAUAUUGCACAAUGGGCGCAAGCCUGAUGCAGCCAUGCCGCGUGUAUGAAGAAGGCCUUCGGGUUGUAAAGUACUUUCAGCGAGGAGGAAGGCGUUAAGGUUAAUAACCUUAGCGAUUGACGUUACUCGCAGAAGAAGCACCGGCUAACUCCGUGCCAGCAGCCGCGGUAAUACGGAGGGUGCAAGCGUUAAUCGGAAUUACUGGGCGUAAAGCGCACGCAGGCGGUCUGUCAAGUCGGAUGUGAAAUCCCCGGGCUCAACCUGGGAACUGCAUUCGAAACUGGCAGGCUAGAGUCUUGUAGAGGGGGGUAGAAUUCCAGGUGUAGCGGUGAAAUGCGUAGAGAUCUGGAGGAAUACCGGUGGCGAAGGCGGCCCCCUGGACAAAGACUGACGCUCAGGUGCGAAAGCGUGGGGAGCAAACAGGAUUAGAUACCCUGGUAGUCCACGCCGUAAACGAUGUCGACUUGGAGGUUGUGCCCUUGAGGCGUGGCUUCCGGAGCUAACGCGUUAAGUCGACCGCCUGGGGAGUACGGCCGCAAGGUUAAAACUCAAAUGAAUUGACGGGGGCCCGCACAAGCGGUGGAGCAUGUGGUUUAAUUCGAUGCAACGCGAAGAACCUUACCUACUCUUGACAUCCAGAGAACUUAGCAGAGAUGCUUUGGUGCCUUCGGGAACUCUGAGACAGGUGCUGCAUGGCUGUCGUCAGCUCGUGUUGUGAAAUGUUGGGUUAAGUCCCGCAACGAGCGCAACCCUUAUCCUUUGUUGCCAGCGAUUCGGUCGGGAACUCAAAGGAGACUGCCAGUGAUAAACUGGAGGAAGGUGGGGAUGACGUCAAGUCAUCAUGGCCCUUACGAGUAGGGCUACACACGUGCUACAAUGGCAUAUACAAAGAGAAGCGACCUCGCGAGAGCAAGCGGACCUCAUAAAGUAUGUCGUAGUCCGGAUUGGAGUCUGCAACUCGACUCCAUGAAGUCGGAAUCGCUAGUAAUCGUAGAUCAGAAUGCUACGGUGAAUACGUUCCCGGGCCUUGUACACACCGCCCGUCACACCAUGGGAGUGGGUUGCAAAAGAAGUAGGUAGCUUAACCUUCGGGAGGGCGCUUACCACUUUGUGAUUCAUGACUGGGGUGAAGUCGUAACAAGGUAACCGUAGGGGAACCUGCGGUUGGAUCACCUCCUU
rnacentral:rRNA from 1 species